AAUUUGGGCAGGGAGAGGGAUAAGAAAGCCCAAAGGAAAAGUGUUCUGUGACCAAACAGGCGACAUGCUUUGAGGGGUGUGCAUCAGAGCCAAGCCACCAUGGAGCCAUUCACUUUUCUGAUGGCUUAAGCGCUCCCAAAAUAGCUGUUCCCAUUUGGAGUGGAACUUAGCAGCUGGGACAGGUGCAGAGCCUCUGAGAGCAGAGGCUCCAUGAAGCGAUUUCAGGAUCCCACACAGCUCUUCCUAAACCUGAGCUGCACUGCCUAACGGGCAUCAGCUCUGUGGCUUUGCCUGUGCCCUGGGCCAGGACCUGGAACUGUUAAAAAGAAGCAAGCAGCAAAUGCAGACUAUGGUCAGCUUUGGGGGUGCUUACAUUUGGGGCAUGGAUGUAGGGAGAAUUGUCCAGGUGACUGGACCUCAUCGGGCCGGGCUGUACAUACCGCCCCAGACUCUCGAAAGCUCUUGCUUAUCCCACUAUGCAGAUUUCUCAGCUUUGCGUGACAGCAUAAAGUGGACCUUGAACGCAGUGGUUUGCGAACUACAGGAAACCUGCGGCCCCACACCUGGCGCAGCAGCAGGCAGGGCUGGUAUUGGACAACCAGUUGGGGAGCGAGGCAACCUGUUUUGUUUUGCUGCCUCUUUGGACCGAGGGAGGCUGGAGAAGGGCAGCUACACAGAAGCAAGGGUGACUUCAGGUGGAAGAGGAGGAGGAAAUACCUUACAGCUGAAAAAGAGCAUCAGGGCCCCUCCUUUUAUAUCGCGGCUCCCAUAUAAAGCAUAGAAAACCUGGUUGCUGCAGACAAAACAGACUUCAGGUUGAUCCAGACCUAAGUUUUUUGGCCUCAAUAUUUUUUUUUAAUAAGCAAAUAUUUACACAAAUUUUAGAAACAACCAUUUCUACAAAUGUCACAUCUGUCCUUGGACAUAAUACUCAUAAUUUGCUUUCAGAACAAACUCAAAGUAAGAGUUGGACUUGAGGCUUCCCAGCUGCUCUGCUCGCAGUAGGUCCGUCACCUCUGGCAAGUACUCGCUGAGCUGGAUGCCUGCAAACAGAAGACACGGUCACUUCUGACGGCUGAAACUCCUCCGCACAUGAGCAGUACAGCAGCCAGUACUGCUAAGUCACUGAGCGAACAUGCCCACACUGCAGCCUCCUCCCAUUCAGAGCCCUCAGGGGAAUGGCAGCCUCUUCAGAGCCUCAGAGCCCUGCAGGUUCCUAUUGGUCAGAGCAGAUGCUCCAGAGGAAAUCUUCAGUAGAAUCUGAAAUUUUUUUUUCCCUACAGUUUAAGACAUUUCUUCAAUGUGUAAGUUUUCAACUAAUAGUCAUUUCUAUGUUGCCCUAAUGGGGGAAUAAUUUAAUAGAAACACUGUCACAAAGCUGGCCACAGGACUGCAAGGGUGUUAAAACUUAACCAGGGUGCCUGUCCUUCCAGCACUCGGGAUGCUGAAGGAGAAGGGUGCCUUGAACCUGACAGCCAGCCAAGAGCAGCCUGGGCAGCACAGGAAGCCUUUGUCCCAAAGAAAUGAACACACGGGCUGGAGAGAUGGCUCAGUGGUUAAGAGCACUGACUGCUCUUCCAAAGGUCCUGAGUUCAAAUCCCAGCAACCACUUGGUGGCUCACAACCAUCUGUAAUGAGAUCUGAUGCCCUCUUCUGGGGUGUCUGAAGACAGCUACAGUGUACUUAUAUACAAUAAAUAAAUUAAAAAAAAAAAGAAUUUUUUAAAAAAAGAAAAGAAAUGAACACACACACACACACACACACACACACACACACACACACACACUGAGGUCAGGCACCAGGACAUAGGGAUCAGUAGACAGGAAACAGCCACCAGGGGACGAUUGAGUCACACGAUCACAACACUGACAAAGACAAUGGACAAGGCUUGAAAUGAGCAGCGCCACAUCACUUGUUACAUUGCUAUCAGGCUCUCUUUACUGUUGGUUUGGUUCUUUGAGGCAGGGUUUCUCUGUGUAGACCUGGCUGUCCUGGACCUGCUUUGUAGACCAUGCUGGACUUGUGCUCACAGACUGCAUCUACCUCCGGAGUGCUGCGAUUGAAGGCGUGUACCACCAUGCCAGGUAUGAAUGUCCACUACACAUGUGCCUGCAGCCUGUAAAGGCAAGGACUUCAGAGUCCCUGAGACUGGAGCUACAGAUAGCUGUGAGUUACCCUGUGGGGGCUGGGAGAGAACAAGAGUUCUUAGCUAAAGAACCAAGUCACCAGCCCUGUUCCAUGUAAUCUUAGUGUGUGUGGACUGUGGUGGGGAUUGAACGCAAGCCCUCAGGUCUGGUGUCUCUACUUGCUGAGGUAGCCCAGCAGCCCUUGCCCUUUUCACACACCAUGCUGUGACUAUGGAGGCCAGAGUGGGUGCUGCUUACUAAGGAACUGGAGGUUCAGGAGCUGUGGGCCGCCUGGCCUGGGUCCUCUGAAGAGCAGGAAGUACUGUUAACUACCAAGCCGUUUCUCCAGCCCUCUCGUCAUUUAUUCUUGAGCAGCUCAAGAAAGAAUACACCAAAAAGUCUGCCUCUCAGAGGAGAUAAUUACUUCAGUCACAGCCUUGUGCUGUCACAGCCAGAGUCUGUGUCCUGGGGUGGAGGACUUCACCUGAACCUUGUUAGCCCUGGGUCUCCAGGGCCAAGAGCACAGCAGCAGCUUCACUGAGAGCAACGCUAAUCUGCACAUCAUCUCAAGCCAUCUGAGGCCCUGGCACAGGUUGUGUUGGCAACACACAAUUCCCACGAUGUCCAAAAUCAGCUAGCAAUAUUCUCUGUGUAACAGCUUAAGUUGUCCUGGAACUCACUCUGUAGACCAGGCUGGUCUCAAACUCAGAGAUCUGCUGCCUCUGCCUCUUGAGUGCUGGGAUUAAAGAUGUGUGCCACCAAGCCCGGCUGCAACAUUUAUCUCUAAUAGUCAAUAAACCACUUACCGUCUUUUA